GCCGGAUUAGCUCAGCUGGUAGAGCAACUGAUUUGUAAUCAGUAGGCCGGGGGUUCGAAUCCCUCAUCCGGCACCA
rnacentral:tRNA from 1 species